rnacentral:sRNA from 1 species
GACUUGGACUUUGAGGAAAAUGAGAAACCAUUGGCCAGUUUUGGGUAUUGGGAGAAGGAGAGGCUGUCAACCCACGCCACUAUGCUAUCUCUAACUCUGCCAUCCAGACCGAGCAAACGUACUUAAGACCUUUGUGUAAGAUCAGAAAAUCAUAAGACAGCAUUAAAAGUACUAUACAGGAGGAGAUGGAACAAGAUGGCCAAAUAGAAGCCUCCAGCAAUCAUCUCCCCCAAAGGAAUUGAACAACUAUCAAAACAAAAUUGAACAACUAUCUAAACAAAAAAAGUACCUUCAUAAAAAGCAAAAAUCAGGACAAUAUCAGAAUGGCACAUACAAGUGUCCCCAAGUCAUAUUUGGAAUAAGAUCACUUGGGAACACAAGUCAAAGAAGGACACAGUGUUCUGCCUCUCCUGAGUAAGCAGCAACAAGGCACCAUCUUGGAAUCAGAGGGCAGCCCUCACCAGACAACUAAAUCUGCAGACACCUUGGACUUCCCAGCCUCCAGAACUGUCUUUCUGGCAACUGUCUAAA